GUGGAAACAGAUGUUAGUACGAACCCAUUUUAGAAUAGUCCUUGCCAACCCAAAGCAGGGAAAUGUUUCUAGGCCAUUAUCACACAUCACAGGGAGUGUGGGGGUUUCCUGGGUAGGGUGAUCCCUAAAGAAACAAGUUUGACAUAGAAAAGAUCCAGAGACAGGGACAGGCCAUCCUUUACUGUGAAACCUGUGGCCACAGGAGACCCCACAGCUAAAGGGCCCCCUGCACAUAGGCAGCGGAAAUGGGGGGCUAAUGGGGCGCAGCCCCCCCCAAACAGAGCAGCAGCAGACAUUGCCUUAGGGCAGCCCGGCCACAGGGUCCUACAGCAGGGGGGGAAGGGACGGGCACGCUGAGCUAUCCUGCGUGCUCGCAGCCAGCCCAGCCGCAGGCAGAAGCUAUUUUUUGAAAGAGGUAUGCAAAGAAAUAUGGUACUAGCUUUCCUUAAGCAAACAACAGAGAAGCUGCUAUUCCCUGCCAGCCUCCCAAACCUAAACCUCCAAUCGAAGGAGACAGUAAAACCUUAGAGUCUGAGCAAGCCAGAACAGGGAAGAAAGAGUUGUCAGCUGGCUGAAGUUGAUACACAGACACCUGGCAACAUUCAAAGCCUUAAGGAAUUCAGCCUGCAAUGUGCUUCUUGUUGGGAAAAAGAUAAUACGUUUGUCAAAUUGUAUGUGCUGAUUCUAUGAAACAAAGGAGUCUCCCAACCAGUGAAAUCAUCUCACUUGGAGCAGAUGGUAUGAAGUACAGCACCAGAACCAAAUCCAGCUUAAGGAGACUUCAAACAAUCAAGAGACAAAUCAUAAUAGCUCAGUGCUUGGCAACAAUUUCACCUUUCACAGAUGUUAGAGGAGAAGCUAUUUUUGGAAGAAGGGUCAGAUUUUUUCAUAUUCUUGGUUCAGGAUCAAUCCUCUCAAGUGGAAUUCCUGCCAGCUGCUAAAUAUAUGUAGAUUUACUCUCUUCACUAUCCACACUUAGCCAUUUAACAGGCUUUCAUUUCAGACUCUGGCACCAGGUGAGAUGAAAGUCCUACAAAUUUGUUUUCUCCUCCUGGACGCAGCAGGACAUGCAUUUUUAAGCUACCCUCCCAGCCCCAUGUGAACAAAUCCUCAUGACAAAGAGGAAUGCCAGCUAUUUUCCAAAAAUACGAAAUCCCUCUCCCUGUCUUCCCUACUGUUGAAAGAAACUCAGCCAUCCCCAACUCCACAUUCUUUCUCUCCAUCUGACUUCCCAAUCCCUGCUCUUUAGCCUGCAGUGGGCAUGCCUACAUAUUCAUUAAUGUGCCAUAAUCAGCACUAC